rnacentral:rRNA from 1 species
GUGGGGAAUUUUGGACAAUGGGCGAAAGCCUGAUCCAGCCAUGCCGCGUGCAGGAUGAAGGCCUUCGGGUUGUAAACUGCUUUUGUACGGAACGAAAAGACUCUGGUUAAUACCUGGGGUCCAUGACGGUACCGUAAGAAUAAGCACCGGCUAACUACGUGCCAGCAGCCGCGGUAAUACGUAGGGUGCAAGCGGUAAUCGGAAUUACUGGGCGUAAAGCGUGCGCAGGCGGUUAUAUAAGACAGAUGUGAAAUCCCCGGGCUCAACCUGGGAACUGCAGUUGUGACUGUAUAGCUAGAGUACGGCAGAGGGGGAUGGAAUUCCGCGUGUAGCAGUGAAAUGCGUAGAUAUGCGGAGGAACACCGAUGGCGAAGGCAAUCCCCUGGGCCUGUACUGACGCUCAUGCACGAAAGCGUGGGGAGCAAACAGGAUUAGAAACCCGGGUAGUCC